GAAAUGCGAUAAGUAAUGUGAAUUGCAGAAUUCCGUGAAUCAUCGAAUCUUUGAACGCACAUUGCGCCCUCUGGCAUUCCGGGGGGCAUGCCUGUCCGAGCGUCAUUACGCACCCUCAAGCCCGGCUUGUGUGAUGGGCCCUGGCGUCUCGUUCGCGAGACGUGCCCGAAAGGCAGCGGCGGCUCCCAGAAGCUACACCCACCCAGUUUGACCUCGGAUCAGGUAGGGAUACCCGCUGAACUUAAGC
rnacentral:misc_RNA from 1 species